rnacentral:rRNA from 1 species
AGGACCCCGCAAGGGGUUAGUAAAGUGGCGCACGGGUGAGUAACACGUGGGUAAUCUACCUUUUAGUUUGGGAUAACUCUUCGAAAGAAGAGCUAAUACCGGAGAGACCACAGGGACAUUAGUCCUAGGGGUUAAAGAUGGGGACCGUAAGGCCUAUCGCUAUUAGAUGAGCCCGCGCACUAUCAGCUAGUUGGUGAGGUAAUGGCUCACCAAGGCUAUGACGGUUAGCUGGUCUGAGAGGAUGAUCAGCCACACUGGAACUGAGACACGGUCCAGACUCCUACGGGAGGCAGCAGUGGGGAAUCUUGCACAAUGGGCGAAAGCCUGAUGCAGCAAUGCCGCGUGAGUGAUGAAGGCCUUCGGGUUGUAAAUCUCUGUCGGCUGGGAAAAAUGGCUUUGCACUGAAUAAUUGCAAAGAAUGAUGGUACCAGCAAAGGAAGAGGCGGCUAACUCUGUGCCAGCAGCCGCGGUAAUACAGAGGCCUCGAGCGUUGUUCGGAAUUACUGGGCGUAAAGGGAAUGUAGGUGGUGACGUAAGUCAGAUGUGAAAGCCCUGGGCUUAACCCGGGAAGUGCAUUUGAUACUGCGUUGCUUGAGUAUGAGAGAGGAAAGCGGAAUUCCCAGUGUAGGAGUGAAAUCCGUAGAUAUUGGGAGGAAUACCGAUGGCGAAGGCAGCUUUCUGGCUCGUAACUGACACUGAGAUUCGAAAGCGUGGGUAGCAAACAGGAUUAGAUACCCUGGUAGUCCACGCCGUAAACGAUGGAUGCUUGUUGUUGGAUAGGUCAACCCUUCCAGUAACGAAGCUAACGCGUUAAGCAUCCCGCCUGGGGAGUACGGUCGCAAGA